CCUACGGGGUGCAGCAGUCGAGAAUCAUUCACAAUGGGGGAAACCCUGAUGGUGCGACGCCGCGUGGGGGAAUGAAGGUCUUCGGAUUGUAAACCCCUGUCAUGUGGGAGCAAAUUAAAAAGAUAGUACCACAAGAGGAAGAGACGGCUAACUCUGUGCCAGUAGCCGCGGUAAUACAGAGGUCUCAAGCGUUGUUCGGAAUCACUGGGCGUAAAGCGUGCGUAGGCUGUUUCGUAAGUCGUGUGUGAAAGGCGCGGGCUCAACCCGCGGACGGCACAUGAUACUGCGAGACUAGAGUAAUGGAGGGGGAAGCGGAAUUCUCGGUGUAGCAGUGAAAUGCGUAGAUAUCGAGAGGAACACUCGUGGCGAAGGCGGGUUACUGGACAUUAACUGACGCUGAGGCACGAAGGCCAGGGGAGCGAAAGGGAUUAGAUACCCUUGUAGUC
rnacentral:rRNA from 1 species